AACCCAACAGCCUUUCCUGGGGCCGCGUGGCCUGGUUUCUCUUUCGCACUUUCUCCGUCUUCCGAGUUUUGAAGAUACGGUCGUCGAUAAAACACUGAGCCACACAAGCAUGCAGAUUGCCUGACCAGCAGUGUCGUUCCUGGGCUGACCCACGCAGAAGUCGCUCCGGUGACUCCCGAGACACGUACAGAACAGGCUCAGAAAGAGCCCUCACGCCCUUAGGGUGAAAUUUAAGUGACCAACUAGCGGAAGUUACCUGGCGAGCAAAGGCGCGGGGACAGAGGGGAACUGGCGCUGUGGUGGAGGUGACUGUGGUCGGGCCUGCGUCCUGGGGGGGGGGGGCCGCGUCUGACGUGCUAAGUGAAAAAAGAACAGAGAAGUGAGUGCGUGGCACGGCUGACACUAUAGGCACGUGUGGACGCAGGAAAACGAGGGGGAAAAACCCCGCAAGGCUGCCUGCGUGCCGCGGGCGGGACCCGCCGCCUCCUGCCCCAGUCCCCUCGCGCCUGUGCUCCGCCCCCGCCCUUGGUCAGGAGAGCGGGCCUUCGCUGUGAGAACUGCAGGCACUUGCUGAUCCUCGCGGCUCACAGCGCCAUGGUUGGGAGUAAAGCGACGGCGACACUUCGAUCUCCGGGAACGGAGAGCUGUGAGAGCCAUGACCUGGCUCGUGUACAGGUAGCAGUGACGGGUGUCACGACAAAGUCCUGAUCAGCUGGGGUAACCGCGGGGCUCCCUGUCUGAUCUGGGACACUGGGGAGGGUGCAGUGCUCAUGGUUAAAACCUACAUCAGAAAAAUCUGCACGACCUGUCCCCGGAGACCCGGACACUGGGGACACACCAGGAGGCAGCGUCGCGCCUGGUGGAGGGUCCGAGAGGUCACGUUUGACCCCGACUUGCAGGACACACAGGUGGACGCCAGGUGGACCAAGAGACAGGGGGAGAGAGAGGCUUCGGGUAAGAGGCGGCAGGUGGGGAGCUGCUUGUGAACCAGACAGCAGGCAGGCCGCCCCCAAGCACUUCUGGCUUCUGGAUAUUGGACGUCGACAGCCAUUGUCACCUCGAGGCCUCUGGGAGAAAGAAGGGGAUGGGGAUCUCAAAACGGGGGCUUGGGAGGCACUUGGGUGCCACCUAGCCCGGCCUCGCCUUGGCACCAGCCUUCAUCGUGCUUCCUGAGGAACGGGGUCUCCAGCCUCACCCGCUCUGUUCCCGAGGCACACGGCUGAUGCCGCCAGGCCCCACCGCCCUGUGCUGCUUUAUUGCUAGAAAGUUCCUUCUCCCAUGAAUUUUAAAUCUGCCACCCUCUCGCUUCUACCCUGUGUAACACGUGGUGUGACUGCGUCGAGGACUGAGAGGAGGAAGGAAAGGUGCCCAGGCUCUAUGAUUAUUUACAUUAAGACCCGAGAAAGUCUACAGACAUCUUAUAAAUAACAGGAGAGCUUAUGAUGUCACUGCAUGGAAGGGCAAUGCACGGACGUCAGCAGGAGCCCGGCCCUGGGAGGUGCCAGUGAGAGUCGAGCCUGGGAGCAGGCUGGGGCGGCAGAGUCCCGGGUGGGACGGCCGGGAGCCCCGCUCACCGUGCCCUGAAGCCCGGGGAGGGGUGGGCAGGGGCAGCUUCCCCACUGUCCCGCUUCCUCGGCCAUCCCCCAUCCCCCACUGCCCGAGGCCUCUUCCACCCCGGAAGGCCCUGCCUGGGAAGGACACGGAAUUCCUCAGAGCUGGAGAAUGCUGUGACCUUUGGGGACAGGACAAGGUUUCUAGGGCCUGGAUUCCCGCCUCCAGCUCCAGAUUGGGAUUCCCAAGACAGGGGUCCCCAGGGGAAGCUCCUUUUAAGGGCAGAGCUGCCUGGGGGCCAGUGGGGCCAUUCGUGGGGAUGGGGUGGGCUCUGAUGGGGACAAGGCCGGCCCGGCCGAUCCAGGGGCCGGAGGCUGGGAGGCUGCACAAAUCCCGCUGUCCCUCUCCCCAGGGGCCGGGGACAGUGUCCAGAACCCCGGGGGAGGGUGGAAGUGGGCAGCAGCUGUCACCAGCCUCCUGCACUGCCCACGGCCAGCCCUUGUCCCCGCCCUCAGAGGCCCGAGAUUUUUCAGGGAACAUACUGGAUUCCCAGAGCCAUGACUUGACUUGCAAACACUUCCUUCCGGCCCAGAGCGGGGGGUCACGCUUGCAUCUUCCAUUCCUCUGUGUGCUCAGCUGCAUUUGGUAAGCACAGCAGAGCUCUGCUCCGGCAGCUUCUCGCACAGACAGGGAGGGGCGGGCGGCAGCCAGCCCACACCCCCCAGGGGUGUUCGUGCCCCCGGGAGAACUCGCCCGCGUGCACACUCACCCACAGUCCGCACACACUCGCGCCCUCACGCACGGCAGCCCCAGUUCUCCGUGGGUCUGGCCUCUAGCUUCCAGGCACCUUGGAGUGAACGGUGAACUAGAACAGGAAGUGGUGAAACCCGAUGGAUUGGGAGGUUGCAGAAAUGGCUUGGUGUUUGCGGGUGGAGUUCUAGAAAGUUCUAGAAAGAUUCAAACUUCAAACUGACUCAACCUUGGCUCCACGGGGAACACAGGGCAAAGCCCCAUCGCACUUUUAUGUUUAAAAUGUUUCUGUUUGAAGCCUCCUUAUUUAACGUGUUGUUGAUGUGGUAACAUGACUUCCCCUGAAAGAGGCCUGUCGGGCGUGCGACUUCUCCGCCGGGUGUAUCCCUGUCCUGGGGCCCAGACGCUGGCAGCAUCUCAGCACCAGGCCUGCGGCCCCUUUUUAAAAUGAAACCGCCGGCAGACGUGCAGACCCCAGGCACGACCCAGCCUGAGAAGGAUGUGAUCCACGGAGCUGCAACAGGCGGAGCCGGCCCCCCAGCCUCCACCAGGGAUGCCCCCCGGGGGCUGGCGCUGUCCCGGCCCCGUGCGGUGACCCUGCCUGGUGACCACGGGGACACGCAGCACUGGCCUGCAGUUGUGCUCAGCUUCAGGGAGGAGGCGAACUGGCAAAGGCAGAACCUGCGCGUCAGGGAACUGAGUGCUUUCCUUAAGGGAAGACUCAGAGAGCACUUCGGAGCCGCCACGUGGAAAGAGGAUAGAAAGCAUGACGGUUCAAGGUCUUCCUGCAGAAGGACAGCCCAGGUGUGUCCCCCACCUGGCCUCGCACACCUGACAGAGCCCCAGCCUGGAGCCGGGGGGGCGAGGGCAGCUCGGGUGGCCGCUCCAGGCCGCCCCCGACUGCACGACUGCCUGGAAGCCCUGACUUCUGGCCGGAAAUCCCUUCUGAAAGGAUGUGCCUGACCCCGCGGAGCCCGUUCCCAGGGACAACCUUGCUGCUGCGCGUGGGGGGCUGCACCGGCCUGGAUUCCUCGCAUAGCUCUGCUGGGAGCCCGGAGCAGGGGCGGGGCUUGGCACUCGUCUUCCCCACGGCCCAGGGCUCCUGGGAGAACACUUCUGUGCGUUUUAAACUUGCUCCUGCGCCCCCGGCCUUGGGCCCCCCACCCACACCGCACAGUCGGCCUCGCUGUGAUGCAGAAAUGGAUACAUUCUGGGGGAACCAGCCUCUGUGUAGGAAGUCGUCCCUCGACUUUUGUUACCACUCUUUUGCAACAAAGUCGUCCCUUUCUGUGGAAAGAGAAACAGCUCGCGCAGGGCAGCGUCGGUCUGCACCUGAGCCAGCAGGCCUGGCGGGCAGGCAGGCUCGCCAUCACCUCUGAAGCUCCAGGGACCGUCCGGCGCAUCUCCCUCCCCAGCAAGGCGGCCGUGGGCACCUCCUGGCUGUGGCCUCUGCGGAGAUGGCCACCCCGGGUGGCUCACCGGCCGGGGUCCCUGAGGAGCACAGGCUGAUUGGCCAGGGUUUCAGGCUGACCAUAUAAGGUCACGUGGGGGCAGUGGCCCCAUUCCUGGGAGUCCCCCUCCCCCAAAGUAGUUGAAACAGUCCUCCCUGUGUCAGCGCAGGGAGUUGCUCAGUCGAUGAAGGCCGGCCCGCCCGCGCCUCCCAGCUUCUGGCCGCCGCCUGCAGAGACGGCCGCGCUCUGUGCGGGCUGUGCGCCUGCCUUCAGCUACCCUGAGCACCCGCCCUGCAGCGCGUGGCCGUGCGCUUGCCUUCGGACACAGCCUGCACUCUGUCUGGGUGGGUGUGUCUCUCUGAAUACACCUACCUUUACUCACCUGUGGCUCCCCCUUGAAUUCUUUCCUGUGAAGCCAAGGACCCACGCUCAGUGGGGCGUGUCCCAAGGGCCCCACCGAGACCUGGGACACGGCCCUCCUCACGCCCCACACUGUUCCUGUGUCACCUGCUCUCCCUUUAGCUCUUUCCGAGCAUGUUUAUCAUGAACAACUGACCUCAGAGGUGGCCGCAGACACUUUGGGGCUGGGCCACGAUGGCUAACCCAGCCCAUGGCUUGGCCAUAGUCACCACAAACAGAAAAGGGCAGAGCCCAGGCCAGUCCCAGGUCUCCAACUUCCACCCUCCCCCAUGUGGACGCCUGGGGCUGCAGCCUGGGCCCUGGUGGGGAGGGUGGGCGCCAGAGAAUCGGUGGGUGGUUCUGCUGAAAGCCUGUGGUGAGGAAGGAAGGCAUAUGCGGCCAGAGUUUCCUGCGGGAGUUGGAGACAAUGAUGGCUGGCUGCUGGCAAGUUUGCCUGCCCCGGUGAGCCUGGUCUGACCCCAGCGCAUGACUCGGGGAGGCAGGGCUCCUCAGGCCCGGCUGAAGGCGCCUCGGACAGUAAGGAGGCGUCUGUGACUCCAAACACAAGUUUUUUUUUUUUGUCUUUACCUAGAAAGCACAUUUUGUUAUGGGAAAAUGAAACCAGAGAAUUUGUUCCACUGAGAGCUGAGGGCAGGUGAACAAAACAACGUACAAGCUGGACCCUGGGCAGCGGGACAGCCCCUCCGCGAACGCCCUCGUCAGGUGUGCACAUACCUGCACCUGCCACUUCUCUGAGGGACCAGCGCCCCAGGCAACCGCUCUGUAGUACGGGAGGCCCGGCGUGCCUUCUUCAUCGUUCAGCGUUCCCAGACUUUCUGAUGCUUGCGUCCUCACCCGUGCUUCUGUUGGCCCUGGUUUUACCCGAGGCAGAGAAAUCAGACCCCUUCGUUUCUGUGAUCGAGACGCCCAGUCCCUAUCUGAGUUUUUUGUUUCAUUUCAACUGAAAAAUUUGCCUCUUGGGCUUGAAAACAA